UUCGUUACAAUGGUAUACAUUGUCAUUACAUAGUCACAUGCUGAAGCUAAGCAGCGCUGCGCCCGGUCAGUACCUGGAUGGGAGACCACAUGGGAAAGCUAAGUUGCUGCCGGAA
rnacentral:rRNA from 1 species